GAGGAAUAUUGCGCAAUGGGCGAAAGCCUGACGCAGCAACGCCGCGUGAAGGACGAAGGCCUUCGGGUCGUAAACUUCUUUUCUGAGGGAAGAGCAAGGACGGUACCUCAGGAAUAAGUCUCGGCUAACUACGUGCCAGCAGCCGCGGUAAAACGUAGGAGGCGAGCGUUAUCCGGAUUUACUGGGCGUAAAGCGCACGCAGGUGGCUUCGUAAGUCGGACAUGAAAGCUCCUGGCUUAACUGGGAGAGGUUGUUCGAUACUGCGGGGCUUGAGGUUGGGAGAGGGACGUGGAAUUCCCGGUGUAGUGGUGGAAUGCGUAGAUAUCGGGAGGAACACCAGUGGCGCAAGCGGCGUCCUGGCCCACACCUGACGCUGAGGUGCGAAAGCGUGGGUAGCAAAC
rnacentral:rRNA from 1 species